CAUCUUCUUGCUCAGCUUGAUCACCAAAAACCAAGUCCUAGCAAGAAUAAAUGGCAGCAACCAUGGCAACAAUGGCAAUACUCAAUGCCAAGUGCUUGAGCAUCAACUCCAACAAGAAUAUCAGUCCCACCAAGCCAUCAACAAAACCUGUCUCUCUUCUCUCCAUGCAAAACCUCCCAAAAGGCCUAACCAUCUCAAAACCAGCAGAUAACACUGUCCUGACCGGUACUGCUAUUGCCGGUGCUAUCUUCACAACCUUGAGCUCAUGUGAACCUGCUUUUGCUGCGCAACAAAUCGCUGAAAUAGCAGAAGGUGACAACCGUGGUCUAGCGCUCUUGCUACCACUCAUACCAGCCAUAGCUUGGGUGCUUUUCAACAUCCUCCAACCAGCACUUAACCAAAUUAAC
rnacentral:lncRNA from 1 species